rnacentral:lncRNA from 1 species
AUGCUUAGGAAAGCUGGACUCGGAGCUCAAAGGGGCAAGGUGAAUAUCCUGACCUCCCUCCCUCCUCUGGCCCAGACGCUUGGAGCGGAUGCAUGUUACGGGCCAAGGAGAAGGUGGACCACAGAGAGCCUCUGCUGGGUCCACUGCCGGAGCCCUGGGUCAAUGCUGCUUCUCCAUGGGCCCCACGCGUCCCCCGGGGGCACGGGCCCUGUGGCAGGGGACAACGGCACCACCUGUCCACCCAGAGCCGUCGUCCAAGCGGAGACACCAAGUCCCAUCACGUGGUUAGCUACCAUGUCAUCAUGUCUUCAGAGCUGGGGCCCUGAUGAGAAGGCUGGCUUUCGGAGCCCAACUCCCGUGCUCUGUGUGACACCUUUGCCCUGGCUACCUGCAGACCCAAGGAACUGAUGCUCAGAGCGCAGCAGCAUCUCGGGUUAGGAGUUUUUGUGACUAGCAACAGAAACGGAAACUAGUUAAUUAAAGCCGAAAAGGAAUUUAUUAAAAGGAUCAGGGCGCUCACAGACCUCCAGGAGGUCUCAGAGUCGGGCGUGGAGGCCGCUUUGCUGUGAGCCGUGCCCCAGUUCACACCGGCUGGAAGACGCUGCGGCCCCCACCCCGGGGCACUGACAGAUCUGUCCACCCCACUGGCCUCUCCGGUCCCUAACACUGGGGCUCUGGACACUGGACACAGGGGCUCUGCCGCGGCCACUCCUGGCGGACCGGACCGGUCCCGUGAGGUCUCUGCUCCUUUGCCUACUGGCUCUGAAUCCAAGCUAGAGCCACGAGCCCCCGUCUGGCUGGUUGGGAGGCGUGAGGGUGAGAAGCCGGCACUUCCGGCCUGUCUGGCGGGAGGUCUAGGGGCAGAUUUCCGAGUCCCCAAACACAGAAGGGGCCCAGGGGCACGACGGCCACAGUUGACAGCCGUGGUCACAGCAAGAAGCUGGGGUGUGCCCACUUGAGACAGUAACAAAAUAAUCCUACCUUCCUAAAAUGCAAUUUGGGUCACGUCAACUUUCAGCGCAUCCUAUCUAGUGGCCAAACAGUCCGGUCACCUGCUCAGGGCUCGGCGGUCAGCUCCGGGCUGUCUGACCAGGCUAGCUCUCAGCACAGCCCCCACCCUGUCUCCACUUGCCUACCACAGGCCACUUACUCGCCCCACCUCACCCACUGGGUUUCUUUUUUCUUUUUUUUUUUUUUUUUUUUAGGUAAAGUGUGCAUACGGCAAAACGCACUAGUCUGAAAUGAUAUGAUUUGAUGGGUGCUGACAAGUACACACACCUGUGAAAGCCAGACCUUUAUCAAGAUCUAGACCUUUCUAUCACCUGGCUCAUUCUCUCGUGCCCCCUCCCUGGUCAAUCCCUGGAAACAACUGCUGAUUUGCUUUCUGUCACUACAGAUUUGUGUGUUCUAGAAUUCCACGUCCACGGAAUAAAACAGUACAUCCUUUUAUCGUGUCCA